UACGAAGGGUGCAAGCGUUACUCGGAAUUACUGGGCGUAAAGCGUGCGUAGGUGGUUUGUUAAGUCUGAUGUGAAAGCCCUGGGCUCAACCUGGGAACUGCAUUGGAUACUGGCUUACUAGAGUGCGGUAGAGGGGUGUGGAAUUCCCGGUGUAGCGGUGAAAUGCGUAGAUAUCAAGAGGAACACCUGCGGCGAAGGCGGGUUGCUGGGCCGACACUGACGCUGAGGCGCGAAAGCUAGGGGAGCGAACGGG
rnacentral:rRNA from 1 species